rnacentral:snRNA from 1 species
GUGCUCACUUAGGCAGCAAAUAUAUUAAAAUUGGAAUGAGAAGAUUAGCAUGGCCCCUGCUUAAGGAUGACAUGCAAAUUCAUGUAGUGUUACAUAUUUUU